UUCGGCGCUGCGGAAGAGGGCGAUCGCAUCGUUGCGGUCGAUGAUCCCGUCGUUGAAGAGCGACGCGCCGAGGC
rnacentral:tRNA from 1 species